GCAGAUCGCAUCAAGUCUUAUCUCCCUAAGCAGUAGUAGAGCAGACAGAAGAAACCAAUCCUAUCUCCCUAAAGUUACAGUGGAGCGGAUUAAAACCACAGAUCUUAUCUCCUUAAGCAGUAGUAGAGCAGAUCGCAUCAAGUCUUAUCUCCCUAAGCAGUAGCGGAGCAGACAGAAAAAACACAAACAUCGUCCCCCUGAAGUUGCUACGAAGAGGAUUGAAGCUACAAGUUAGAACUCUCUGAAGUGCAGUGGAGUGGAUCGAAGCAACAAGACAC
rnacentral:lncRNA from 1 species